GACGAACGCUGGCGGCGUGCCUAAUACAUGCAAGUCGAGCGAAGUUUUUCUGGUGCUUGCACCGGAAAAACUUAGCGGCGAACGGGUGAGUAACACGUAAAGAACCUGCCUCAUAGACUGGGACAACUAUUGGAAACGAUAGCUAAUACCGGAUAACAGCAUUAACUGCAUGGUUGAUGUUUAAAAGUUGGUUUUGCUAACACUAUGAGAUGGCUUUGCGGUGCAUUAGCUAGUUGGUGGGGUAAAGGCCUACCAAGGCGACGAUGCAUAGCCGACCUGAGAGGGUGAUCGGCCACACUGGGACUGAGACACGGCCCAGACUCCUACGGGAGGCAGCAGUAGGGAAUCUUCCGCAAUGGGCGAAAGCCUGACGGGAGCAACGCCGCGUGAGUGAAGAAAGGAUUUUCGGGUUCGUAAAAGCUCUGUUGUUAGGG
rnacentral:rRNA from 1 species